UAAGUAUUCCGCCUGGGAAGUACGGCCGCAAGGUCAAAACUCAAAGGAAUUGACGGGGGCCCGCACAAGCGGUGGAGCAUGUGGUUUAAUUCGAUGCAACGCGAAGAACCUUACCUGGGCUUGACAUGUCUGGAAUCCUGCAGAGAUGCGGGAGUGCCCUUCGGGGAAUCAGAACACAGGUGCUGCAUGGCUGUCGUCAGCUCGUGUCGUGAGAUGUUGGGUUAAGUCCCGCAACGAGCGCAACCCUUGUCCUUAGUUGCCAGCGGUUCGGCCGGGCACUCUAGGGAGACUGCCGGUGACAAACCGGAGGAAGGUGGGGAUGACGUCAAGUCCUCAUGGCCUUUAUGUCCAGGGCUACACACGUGCUACAAUGGCGCGUACAGAGGGAAGCCAAGCCGCGAGGUGGAGCAGACCCCAGAAAGCGCGUCGUAGUUCGGAUUGCAGUCUGCAACUCGACUGCAUGAAGUCGGAAUCGCUAGUAAUCGCGGAUCAGCAUGCCGCGGUGAUACGUUCCCG
rnacentral:rRNA from 1 species